AUGAGUAGGGCGGGACACGUGGUAUCCUGUCUGAAUAUGGGGGGACCAUCCUCCAAGGCUAAAUACUCCUGACUGACCGAUAGUGAACCAGUACCGUGAGGGAAAGGCGAAAAGAACCCCGGCGAGGGGAGUGAAAAAGAACCUGAAACCGUGUACGUACAAGCAGUGGGAGCACCCUUUGGGGUGUGACUGCGUACCUUUUGUAUAAUGGGUCAGCGACUUAUAUUCUGUAGCAAGGUUAACCGAAUAGGGGAGCCGGAGGGAAACCGAGUCUUAAUUGGGCGUUAAGUUGCAGGGUAUAGACCCGAAACCCGGUGAUCUAGCCAUGGGCAGGUUGAAGGUUGGGUAACACUAACUGGAGGACCGAACCGACUAAUGUUGAAAAAUUAGCGGAUGACCUGUGGCUGGGGGUGAAAGGCCAAUCAAACCGGGAGAUAGCUGGUUCUCCCCGAAAGCUAUUUAGGUAGCGCCUCGUGAAUUCAUCUCCGGGGGUAGAGCACUGUUUCGGCUAGGGGGCCAUCCCGGCUUACCAACCCGAUGCAAACUGCGAAUACCGGAGAAUGUUAUCACGGGAGACACACGGCGGGUGCUAACGUCCGUCGUGAAGAGGGAAACAACCCAGACCGCCAGCUAAGGUCCCAAAGUCAUGGUUAAGUGGGAAACGAUGUGGGAAGGCCCAGACAGCCAGGAUGUUGGCUUAGAAGCAGCCAUCAUUUAAAGAAAGCGUAAUAGCUCACUGGUCGAGUCGGCCUGCGCG
rnacentral:rRNA from 1 species